GCCUGUUGAAACUGAGGCUGUGGCUCUGGCUAUCUCUGAAUUGCCUUUGGGGCCCGUUUUUCCUCUCCUUGAAAAAUAGUGCAGAUUCACAGCCAAAUAAGCAAAUCAGCCCAUCAUGUCUAACCCAGAAGUCUCAAAGCCUUCAUUCUUUUUGUCCCAUCUUCAUCCCCUUCAGUUCAAACUGGAAGAAUUUCUGCUCAUAUAAUCUCAUAAACUUUUAUCAAGUGGUUGUCCAGUCACACUCUUGGUGUUAUUUUCAGAACAAGUUUUUGUCAUUUUUUAAUAGUGUGGAUAAGCUGAGAAUUUCUCAAAUCUUCAAGUUCUGGUUCCUUUUUGCUGAACAAUUUCUUCUUCAACUUAUGUUUUUUUUUUUUUUUUCAUUUCAGCAGAAAUGGUCAGGAGGAAACCAGCUGCUCCUUCGUCACAUUGCUUAGAAAAGUCAAAUAUUUAAUUUCAUCACUCACAAGUUCUACCUUCCCCAAAACACUAGAAUACAGUUCAUCUCGGUUUUUUACCACUUUAUAACAAGGAUCACCUUUCUUCCAGUUUCCAGUAACAUAUUCCUCAAUUCCAUCUAAGCCCUCACCAGAAUCACCUUUACUGUUUGUUCAUAUGUUUAGGAUGCACCUGAAAAUUCUUGAGCCUCUACUCACUAUCCAAUUCCAAAGCCAUUUCCCCAUGUUUAGGUAUUAGUUACAGUAGCACCCUCAUUUCUUGGUAACAAAAUUUGUCUUAGUUCAGGGUGCCAUAACAAAAUACCAUAGACUGGGUGGCUUAAAUAAGAUAAAUUUAUUAUCUCACCGUUCUAGAGAAUAAUGUCCAAGAUUACAGUACCAGCAAAGUAGAUUUCAUUCUGAAGCCUCUUCUCUUUUCUCAUAGGUAGUUAUUAUCUCACUGUGUACUCAUAUGACCUCUUUGUGUGCCUGUGGGGUAAGAGAGAGAGAGGGCAAGCUCUCUGUUGUUUUCUCUUUUCAGGGUACUAAUCAGGAAGGCCCCACACUCAUGACCUCAUCUAAACCUAGUUAUCUCCCAAAGGCCCCAUCUCCAAAUACCAUCACAUUAGAGAUUAGGCUUCAGCAUAUGAUUUUGGGGGGACAGGAUUCAGUCCAAAGCAGGUGCCCUUCCUCAAGACACUUUAUGUCCAUCUGUAGGCAAUUUGUCAUAAUAAACUAAUUUUAUUAGAACAGGGUGUUCCGCUGUUAUCUGCCAGAAAAUGGUUGUAAUAAAUACUUAAAUCUGCAUAUUCUACCCUAUGAAUGCUCCUCUGGAGUUACACAGUAAGCAACCUGAACAAUUAUUCACCGUAGUCCAGGUUAAUCCUUCCUUGUCCUCAACUGACAAUUUUUAUGUAUGGUAAGGAAAAGAAAUGCUUCAAAAAUCUACUAAAUCAGAAAUCAGAGGUUUAGAUAAGUAAACUAUUUGCUCCAAAAUUAUUACAAAGAAAGACCAUCUUAAUAAGUAAAGAAUGUAGUAUAUGGUUUCAAUUUGACAAGACACAAUAAUGUGUGACUAAAACACUGGGCUAUAAAUCGUGAGAGCUUUUUGCUAAGUUUGAGUACAGUAAUUAUUAAGAAAAUCCAUUAUUUAGUAAAAGCAGCUGAGAACUUGUCAGAUUCAAAAUCACAAGGUUGAAAUUGACUAAAUAGGUCCAUAUGUUGGUAAUCCUGUUUCCAGAAGGAACCAUCCUUAAAUCACCCAAAAUAAAUGAAUAUCUUGUUAAAUACAGAUUAACAAUUCACACUAUAAGAUAUCUUCCCUAAGUUUAAUUUCAAUCCAUGGUACUUAAAAUUGAACUUCUUUUCUCUUGUUCUGUCAACGUCAGAAUAAAUGUUGCAGCAAAUAUGAAGUGCCUAGAAUGUGGCAGAAAUUCUGUAGAUGGUAAAACAAAAAUUAAUUCAUGUAGAACACUUCUUAUUAAUGUAUUUAGAAUACUUUUCAGGCCUCCUUCUUUUCUGGCAAGUUACACUUUUAACUUUGUACAAGCAAAUAUGAAUCAUCAACUCGUUGAUUAUACAGUCUGAAAUUUUCUUUUUAAAAUAUGAAUACGGCAGACCAUAAUCUUAGGUUUCUAUUACAACACAUACUGCAGACAUGCAAGAUUUAACAAGAAAGUAGUAACAAUGUAAAUAGCGUAGCUUUCAAAUCUACAGAAAAUGGCUUUCUAAGAUUUGUGCCAAUCAUUCAUUUUUAAAAAUUGGGAAUGCUGGCCAGGCAUGGUGGCUCACGCUGUCAUCCCAGCAUUUUGGGAGGCCGAGGCAGGGGAAUAGCUUGAAUCCCGGAUGCAGAGGCUGUGGUGAGCCAAGAUCAUGUCAUUGCACUCCAGCCUGGGCAAUAAGAGCGAAACACCAUCUAAAAAAAAAAAAGUUGGGAAUGCCUGGAUUUAAUAAUUUGAGGAAAUUUUUUAAAAAGAAAAUGAGCAGUGCCUUUUCAUCACCGUGGGCUCCUUUUACCUAUUCUCUUUUUCUUAAUUAUUUCGUAUCUUAGAAUCUUUUCUCAAUAUUUUACAAUAAUUCUUUUUCCAUUCAGCUUAUCUCCACAUAAAAGUAUAACACAUAAGAAUUUCCCAAAAUUAUCUUUUCUUUCUUUCAGAUUAUUUCCUUUGUCAUAGAUUAUUUUAGAUAUCUUAGAGUACUUACUGUGUUUGGAUUACUUCAAGAAUAAUUGUACAUAGGCCCAAUUCUGUAUUGACUGGUUUUGUUCAGGUUUAUGUAGUCCUACUAAAAGCAGAUUUUUUUGUUUUAGUUCUUAACAUUUCAUGUGCAGAAUAUUUGUGCUAUUUCAUGGUAGUUUUACCUUUAAUUAUGUUGGCACAUUUUGUGUAUUUCCAGUUUUAAAAUCGUAUAGAAAAAAGGAUCCUCAACCACUGCACUAUGAGAGUAGGAGGGGUGCUCCUAUUUUCCUGGCUCUUUGUCACAGCCUCCCCUCAGGAAUGGAAAUCAUGGUGCCAUAACUGGAGAGCAGCUCAUCAGGCACACAAGCUUAGGGAAUCCAAGGGAAGAAUGCACUGGUUAAUUGUGGGUCAGCAUAGAAAAGAACAUGAUCAUGUCCUUUGCAGGGACAUGGAUGGAGCUGGAGGCCAUUAUCCUUAGCAAACAAACUCAAGAGCAGAAAACCAAAAGCCACAUGUUCUCUCUUAUAAGUGGGAGCUAAAUGCUGAGAACACAUGGACACAUAGAGAGGAACACACACUGGGGCCUUUAAGAGGGUGGAGGGUGGGAGGAGGCAGAGGAUCAGGAAAAAUAACUAAUGGGUACUCGACUUAAUACCUGGGUGAUGAAAUAAUCUGUACAACAAGCCCUCACAUAACAAGUUUACCUAUGCAAAACAAACCUGUACUCAUACCCCUGAACUUAAAAGUUAAAAAAAGAAACAAUAUGAUAAUUUUCUUAAUUGCAUGGAAAUGUAGUAAGAAAAAAAAUUCUUAAAAAACGACUAAAAUUUAUAUUUCUGUAGCAAUUAACAUAAACAUUUUUUAAACCAUUCAUCAGUUUAUUUUCACACACCCCCAAAAGAUUCAAAAAGCGUUAUCCACACUUAAAUGAUUUGAUUUUUUUAAGUGAAUCAAACAACUUUUUUUUUUCCUGAUUGCAUGAACUGACCAAGUGUUUGAUCACUUUUAGCAGAUGUUGACAAUAUAUUGAUAUUACUAAUGCCAACACUUUUUUUUAUUUUUUAUUUUUUUGAGAUGGAGUCUUGCUCUGUUGCCCAGGCUGGAGUGCAGUGGUGUGAUCUUGGCUCACUGCAAGCUCCGCCUCCUGGAUUCACGCCAUUCUCCUGCCUCAACUUCCGGAGUAGCUGGGACUACAGGUGCCCACCACCACACCCGGCUAAUUUUUUGUAUUUUUAGUAGAGACAGGGUUUCACCAUGUUAGCCCGGAUGGUCUGGAUAUCCUGACCUCGUGAUCCACCUGCCUCGGCCUCCCAAAGUGCUGGGAUUACAGGCGUGAGCCACCGUGCCCAGCCUACUGAUGCCAACACUUUUGAUAAAACAUUGAACUGAGAUUAUUAUAAACCCACCUUUCAAUUUCUCAUUAAAUAUGAAAGUUCAUACUUGUUUCCUUGUUGUUUCUUGAAAAUAUUCUUGCAAACUAUGCCAACUCUCUCUUGAAGAGGAAGAAAAAAACAAAUUUACCUCCUUGACUUUACCAGAUGCCAUGUUAUUCAAAAGUUGUUUUUGUUUUUGUUUUGUUUUGUUUUGUUUUCAGGGAAAAACCCAUCAAUCUAAGCAGUGAAAAAAUGGAAAGACUCCAUCAUGUUUUUUAAGUAUAGCUACGAUAUAAAUGAAAGUUAUUAAUCUGCAGCACACCAAUCCAACUCCUAAAUUACAUAAUAAAUAGGUUGCUCAUUUUCUGUCACAUAUAGCCUCUUCUCUUUGUUAAUACCAUUAUAAUACUGCUAAUACCUAUGACUCGAAAAACGAGGCAUACAAGGUUAGGAUGCCUCUGAUAAACAAAAAGCUUUUAAGAUGGGGCUUUCAUUGUUUGUGAAGAGCUAAUCAUUCAACAAUUAAAUGUUUGACAAGUUUGACAAGCUAAAACUAGACAACGAAAUUGCUGCUUAAAAUAAUAGAAAACAUCCUUUUAGGGGAAAUUGGUAAACCUCUUCUAGGGGAAAUAAGACCUGUUUUCAUGUCAGCUGAGUUUUAAGUUGCCAUUAAAGUGAUAAUAUAAAGGGAAAAUAAACUGAUUUUGAUUACAUAUUUAACAUUAAUUCAAGUGCCUCUUGAUAUAUCCCCAAAUUAGUUUGUUAAAAAUAAAAUUGCCUGUUGACAAUCUAUUUUUAUAAACAUUUAGGUUAUCUAUAACUUAAUUGUAGUUUUUACUUAAGGCAUAACAGUGUUUGUAGUACAAAUAUCAUUUAUAUCCAAAACUUACUUAGAUUUAAAAAUAUUUUUUACUGAUUUAUUUGCUCACUGUUUCUUCCUGAAUCAUACUCCUUCCUUCUUGAUUUAUUUAUUUCUUAAUGAAAUACGUCUUUUAGUAUUUUUUUUCAAGUGAAAGUAGGAAAUUCUGUGUCAUUGUGCAUCUUUAAACUUCUUUAUUCCACCUUCUCUCUUAAAUGUUUAACUUUUCACUGAGAUUUAUCUCGUCAGCACAUUGAAGUUACGCCUUCAUUCUCUUUUGGUCUUUCCUAAUGCUGAUGAGGUCUUCCAUCCACUUGAUUGUUCCUUUGUAAAUUACCUUUUAUCUCUAUUUGAUUUCAAAAUUCUCUCUUUGUCCUUGAUGUUCUGCAAUUUCACUACAAAGUGACUAGGUAUAAUUUGGGUUUUUUUUUGUCUAUUUAAAUUUUCAAAAUAAUUACUCAUUGCUUUCUUCAGUUUUCAAGAAAGGUUUCAGCCAUCAUAUCAAAUAUUUCCUCUUCCCUAUCAAUACUAUUAUUUGUUACUGGAAUUCUUAUUAGACAUAUGCCAGGGCUUCUUGAUAUUUUUUUUCCAUGCCUUUUAAAUUUCCUUUAAUAUUUUUCUUUUCUUUUUCUCUCUCUGUUGCAUUUUUAUAUGCUUCGAUCUACCUAUUCACUUAUUUUUCUCUUCAUCUACAUCUAGUCUACAUACUUUCUAUUAUUGUUUUAUUUCAAUUAUUUGUGAUUUUAUUUGACUGAAAUCUCUUUUUGGCUUACACUAGUGGGAGCAGGGAACACAGGAUUCUAUAGUGUUCUGAAGAGAUAAUGCUAUAAGUGAUUUGAAAGAGCAAAUGCCUCUGAUAAGACUGUAAGAUGCACGAGAGAAAGGAUGUUUCAUUAUCUAGGUAGCCCUACUACCCAGUAAACAGCCUGGCAAAUAGUAUGUUCUCAAUAAAUGUUUUCAGUAAUGGAUUAAAUAUAAACCAAGUAAAUGUUAAACUUCACAACAAUAUACCUUAAUAUUAAUAUGUUGCCUUUAAUUGUCAGUAGUUCAAGUACAGUAAUUCUCAAACCAGAGAUAUUAAAAAUCACCUCUGGAAAACACUAAAGUGUAGAUCCAUAGGUCCCACCAUAGAGUUUCUGAUUAAUUAGGUCUGAGUUCUAAAUAUCUGUAUUUUCACAACAUGUGAAGUCACGUAAACUAUAAAUUUUGAUUCUGAGAGCCAAAGAAGUACCUUGAAAGAAAUACUGUCUGAGUGCAAUCAGAUUUAGAAAUGGCAAUAAUAGAAAGGUAAAGCAAAGAUUCCUCUACAUGACUUGGUCAGCAGAUAGGACAGGAAGAGACUGACAGGAAGGACAAGCUAUGAAAUGAAGGAGCAAAAGUUAAAUAAUAGGAGGGAAGUUUGAGAAGUUCUGAUGCUGCCUUGGAAUCCUCCUGUUCUAAAACAAAGCUAUCUUGUUUUAAAAAUACACAAGUAAUAAAUAUUUAGUCAUUUGCUCUAGUAAAUUAUAUGCUUUUGCAGCAUAUACUUUUUUAACUUCUUCACAUGGGUUCUUUUACUAAUUAAAGCUAAUUGGAAAUAGGUAAAAAAGGUUAAUAUUGGGUCUGUUUCCUUGUGGAUCUAUUUUUUAAGAUUUGCAUUUAAUUCUGUGGGAUGAUAGAAUGAUAAUGUAAUGUAAUUUAGCUUAAUAUCUAUUUUCUGUUAGAUGACAGUUUUAUUAAGCAGAACCAAUAAUCAUCGUUAUUCAGAGUCAUAAUGGCCCAUUAUAAAUGGUCUCAUUUUCCCUAAUUUUAAUUUUACCUCUUAGAGUAUGCCUAGAAUUGUUAAAAUGGUUAUGCUUGGUUUCUUUCAUAAAUAUCAUUUUAACAAUCAGUAUGGAAACAUAAGUCAUCUAGUAGUUAAGUCCCACUAUUCUACAUAUUUGAUACAAAACUAUUUUAGUGUCUUGGUUUCUCUUAAUUAAACUUUCAGACUAACAAAUUUCAGGAAAUUAAAUUACCAUCCUUUAUGUAUCAGAGCCUUAACAUUGAUAUGAAUAGGCUUUUGUUUCUGGGAUGCCACCUUUCUGACUCUUGUGUUUCUCAGGAUAGAGAUGAACAGAUUAGACAAAAGACGGACUUGUCCCCAGCAGGCUGCAGAAUAAUUAGAUUCACAACUCUCUUAAAAAAUAUCAACAAACUAAGGUGGUUUUAUGUUCAUAAGGCAUUUUUUCUUUUCUUUUUUUUCUGAGAUGGGGUCUCUUUCUGUUGCCUGUGCUAGAGAGCAGUGGCGUGAUCUCCGUUCAUUGCAACCUCUGCUUCCCAGGCUUAAGCGAUCCUCCCACCUCAGCAUCCCAAGUAGCUGGGACUACAGGCAUGCAACACCAUGCCCUGCUAAUUUUUGUAGUUUUUUGUAGAGACAGGGUUUCACCACAUUGCCCAGGCUGAACUCAAACUCCUGAGCUCAGGCCAUCAGCCCACCUUUGCUGGGAUUACAGGCAUGAGCCAAUGCACCCACCCUUGUCAGGCAUUUUUUCUUAAGGUGAAUAAAUUUAGGGAACAGUCAGAUUAUUUUCUGUCCCAACAAUUGCAACAAGAGAUGGGAAUUUAUAGAAGGGAGAAAAUGGAGUUAUUUGGAUCAUAAAUACAUCAGGGGAGAGAGGGCCUUAGAAGUUCCCUCAUUUUAAGGCUCUUUUGAGUCACAUCAAAUACCUGUUUAAGGUUGCACAGUUUAUUAAGCAUUCUCACUUACAUCCUUUCAUAUAGGCCUACACCAUUCCUUUCAGGUGAAGAUCACUAUUAUUCUAAACUUACACUGAGAGGACUAAGUGUAGAGAAAUUAACUCACAUCCAAGCCAGUUACCUGGUUUGAGUGGAGGCGAAGCUUAAGCUUUUUUCACAACAUCAGAGUUUUUACAGUCAGAACACAUCCCAGAGGCUUUGGAUGCCUGGGAACAGAGGCAAAAGGUCAAACAAGUUCAAAAAAUGGAGGUUGAAGGUCAUCUCAAAUACAAACUUUACCAGCUUUAUAUUAUUGUCCGGGGACCAGCAUGCAACAAUUGCUUAGAAUUCAAGGAAAGUCAACUCCUUUCAGCUUCUGUCAUGGGCACUAUAGGAGGCUCCUGUUGCUUUUGAGUAAUAAUUCUAUUUCAUCUAUACAUGAUUAAAUAGAACUCUCUUCUAUAAAAUUUGUGCCUGGAUGAACCAAAGAUGCAUUUUCAAGCAUUCAAGAGUAUGCAGGAAAAAAUCAGAUCCACUCAUGGAUACGAACGUGGAUUAUAACCUAUGAUGCUAUUACGUAAUUUGAUAUUUUACUUUACACCACUCAAUUAUUUGUUCAAUAAGUAAUCAGUGAGUGCCAGAACUGUGUUAUGCACUGAUAUCAUUGAGAAAAAAAAUAUAGUCUCUGCCCAUAUAAAGCUCAUACUCUGAUUGGGCAAGAAAGCAUUGACAAUACAACAUGGUCAAUAAGAUAGAAUUUUUAGUAGGCCAUGGCAAUGUGGAAGAAGAGACUUUAAGGCAACCUUUCAGUUAUCUUUUGAAAUGAUUGUUUCACCGUGAUUCAUUUACAUGCAUGCAUAUCAGUGAUUGAAAGUAUCUAUGUAUGUAUGCAGAUGUACUUUCUUGGUUGCCGCACACUUUUUAAAAUAACGUUCCCAAGUUGUUUAAACAGAGAAACCCAUAAAGAAUGGUAAAUUAGAAGUGCUUUGAUUGGCCUUGGAGUAUGUAGUUUAACUUAAUAGAUAUUGGACUAUCUUUAAUAUAGGGAUCAUGAUAAGCCACGCUGAGAAUCGCAUUUAAAAAGUCUUAGAUAAAUUAAUGAAAGAAAUACUUUAAUUUUUAACCCAACAGAUGUUUACUUUCUGGGUUAUAACCAUCUCUUAAAACAUUAGCAUGACUGGAAAGCUGUAACUACCCAUGAAUUCUGCCAGUUUAGUAAAGUCUUUAAGAUAAAGCUAAAAUAACUGAGAAAAUAGAAUAUUUCUGACAAUAUGUUCUAAAUUUAUAAAGCUCUUGGUCAAAAAUCAUGGUCAUAUAAAAAUCCAUGUUCUGCCCCUUGAGUUUUUAGGUCAAGUAUUUAUACCCAUUGAUUAAUAUAAAUAAUACAAAUUACAUAAAUUCUAGCCAAGCUGUUUGGUCAUAUUUUUGUUAUCAUGGACUUAAGAGUAAGUCUUUGUAACCAAAUUCAAUCUUUGCCAUCUUUGACCCGGGACAAAUUUUUACUCCAAGAUUUAAUUUGUUAUCUAGAAAAUAAAGAUAAUACUACCACAUAGUUCUACUGUUAGAACUGAGUCCAAUAUGAGGAGUGGUAUAGUACCUGACACAGCAUAACUUCAACAUCAGUGAUAGUUCCUCUUUAUGAUUGACUACAAGGCCUAUGCUAGAUCAUGCUUUCAUCAUUUAAAAGCAUUAAACAUUAAAAAAACAUCUUUUCACGACAUUCCACCAGAGGCAUUGAGUCAAAAAGCUUAAUGAUUCCUAUUCAACUUACUUAUUUUGUGGGGAAAUCAAACUCACCUGCCAUCCAUGGGGCUGGUCCAUGUGAAGAGACCACUUAAAAUAUUACUUGGAUUGUGUUUUUCCAUGAAAAGUUGAGACUGACCACGCAUUUUUACAUAUUUUCUCAUAGUUAUAGUACUGAGUGAUGUCUCACAUUCUAUUUGUGAUGCGCAUGCUGGAGUCAGUACAUUAAGCAGGAAUUGGGGACGUUUUCUCAAAUUCAUUAAAAUAUAAAAGCAUCUGAUGUUAAAAAUUGAUGAAAUAUAGAUUCAUUGUUUGAUUUCACAUGGAUAGCUUAGCUUAGUUGGUCAGAGAUUUGGUGUUGAUAUAUCAGGUCUGAGAUUCACGCUCCCCCAUUCACCAAUUAAAUCUAAUUGAUUUUUCACUCACUGGGUUUUUUGUUUUGUUUUGUUUUAGGCUCACUGACUGACUGCAGCUGUAACUUCAACUUGCCAAUGUACACCAUUGCUCACAAGAGGACCAGCUGAGAGUGUGAAUGAAUUUAUUGCCAGCCCUUUCCUACUCCUAAAACAAAGCAAUUCUGUAGAUUUGUUACUGAUGAGUCAUAGCACCAUCUUCAUAUACAAAUAACAGCAUUUCAUAUGGCACUAUUUGCAGUGUAAAUGAUAGCAGACAUCAUGAGGAGACAGUACAAAUUAUCUUGGGCCAUUGUCUUAUUUAUAGAUUAAAGUACAAUUAUGUUUUUCCUGAUUUACCUUCUGACAUCUUAGUUAAUUAAGUUACUUGUUUCUUUUAUGUUCAUUCUCCCCUUAGAUCUGGCACAACUAUGCUUUUCUUUAAUAUUCUUUCCCUUGUUAAAUUGUUAAUUUUUUCUGAGGGGCAGAAUACCUUUUUAUCAUUAUUUUGAGAAUGCUAAGUAUUUACAUAAUUAUCCUUCAGAGAACACUGGAAGACAAUACUGUUGAACAAAUGGAUAAAUACUAGAAAAGGAUUACUGGAUAAUUCUAUCAUUUCUGGAAGCCUCAGUGAUUGAUUUAUUCUCUUUUUACCCUCACAUAUUUUUCCUCUAGGUUACUAUUUUUUUCCUGACACGUUUUCAAGCUUAUAGUUGGUCAUUUUCUCUGUUUAAAAAAAUAUUCUGGGAAUGCGCAAGUGCUCAGAAAAAUAUUAUCUAUUAGCAAACUCAUUAAUUUAAGCACCUAUUAAUAAAUUUGCUCAUUCAUUUAGAAUGAAAAA